rnacentral:rRNA from 1 species
CAGGGAUUGCCUCAGUAACGGCGAGUGAAGCGGCAACAGCUCAAAUUUGAAAUCUGACCCCCCCGGGGCCUGAGUUGUAAUUUGUAGAGGGUGCUUCGGGCGCGGCGCCGGUCUAAGUUUCUUGGAACAGAACGUCGCAGAGGGUGAGAAUCCCGUACGUGACCGGUGACCAAGCCCGUGUGAAGCCCCUUCGACGAGUCGAGUUGUUUGGGAAUGCAGCUCAAAAUGGGUGGUAAAUUCCAUCUAAAGCUAAAUAUUGGCCAGAGACCGAUAGCGGACAAGUAGAGUGAUCGAAAGAUGAAAAGCACUUUGGAAAGAGAGUUAAACAGUACGUGAAAUUGUUGAAAGGAAAGCGCUUGCGACCAGACCGGUCCGGGGGCGAUCAGCCGCUGCUCGUCAGCGGUGCACUCGCCUCCGAUCCGGCCAGCAUCGGUUUGGGCGGCGGGAUAAAAGUCCCGGGAAUGUAGCUUCCCUCGGGGAGUCUUAUAGCCCGGGUCGCAAUGCCGCCCGCCUGGACCGAGGACCGCGCUUCGGCUAGGAUGCUGGCGUAAUGGUCGCAAGCGACCCGUCUUGAAACACGGACCAAGGAGUCUAACAUCUAUGCGAGUGUUUGGGUGUCAAACCCAGGCGCGGAAUGAAAGUGAACGGAGGUGGGAACCCGUCAGACGGCGCACCAUCGACCGAUCCUGAUGUCUUCGGAUGGAUUUGAGUAUGAGCAUAGCUGUUGGGACCCGAAAGAUGGUGAACUAUGCCCGGAUAGGGUGAAGCCAGAGGAAACUCUGGUGGAGGCUCGCAGCGGUUCUGACGUGCAAAUCGAUCGUCAAAUCUAGGCAUAGGGGCGAAAGACCAAUCGAACCAUCUAG